AUGUUGAAGCGGCAUUUCUUCUUGAAGAAUCGUGGACAGUUGCUGCAACAGUUGGUACCUCAAAGAGCCGAUAUUGCGGAAAGAAUGGUUAUAACCUUGAAAGGGAUUGAGAAGGCCACAAACAAUUUUGAUAAAACACGCGAGCUUGGUGGCGGCGGGCAUGGCAUGGUUUACAAAGGGAUCUUAUCGGACCUCCAUGUUGUAGCCAUCAAGAAACCAAAGACAGUCAUUCAAAAGGAGAUUGAUGAGUUCAUUAAUGAGGUUGCCAUCCUAUCACAGAUCAAUCAUAGAAAUGUAGUUAAACUAUAUGGUUGCUGCCUUGAAACCGAAGUCCCCUUGUUGGUUUAUGAGUUCAUAUCCAAUGGUACCCUGUAUGAACAUCUUCAUGUUGAGGGGCCAAGAUCUUUAUCAUUGGAUGAUAGGUUGCGGAUAGCAACUGAAACAGCUAAAUCAAUAGCAUAUCUUCACUCCAUAGCUUCAAUACCUAUCAUCCACAGAGAUAUCAAGUCUGUUAACAUACUUCUCGAUGAUACUCUGACGGCAAAGGUGGCUGAUUUUGGUGCUUCAAGAUACAUUCCCAUGGAUAGGUCAGGAGUAACAACAAUGGUGCAAGGUACAAUCGGAUAUUUGGACCCCAUGUACUUUUAUACACAAAGGCUCACAGAGAAGAGUGAUGUUUAUAGUUUUGGUGUCAUUCUUAUAGAGUUGUUGACUAGAAAAAAACCAUUUGCAUACAUUUCGCUGGAUGGUGAAGGCCUUGUUGCACAUUUUUCUGCUUUACUUACUAAAGGCAAUUUGUCACAAAUACUAGACCAACAAGUUCUUGAUGAAGGAGGCAAAGAAGUGGAAGAAGUCGCUGUGCUUGCUAAGGCAUGUGUACACCUAACAGGAGAGGAUCGUCCGCCCAUGAGACAAGUAGAGUUGGCAUUGGAAGGCCUUCCAGUAUCCAGAAAGAAGAUGUUAGAUAAGGUGUCGGCCAAGGAAUUUGAGAGGAAUGGUAUUAUGAUAAACCACCCAUGGGUUGGAGAUGAAAGAAGCAGUAAAGAGACGUCAAGACAAUAUAGCAUGGAAGCUGUUAUCCUCAAGGUAUCCUCGAUAGCUCUGCAUACGCAUGAUACAAUGCAGACUCAAUUUCUGACAGUUAGUUCCAAAGGUUUAUUUGAAUUCAUCUAA
rnacentral:rRNA from 1 species